ACGAAGGUCCCGAGCGUUGUUCGGAAUCACUGGGCGUAAAGGGAGCGUAGGCGGUUUGGUAAGUCAGAUGUGAAAUCCCGGGGCUCAACCCCGGAACUGCAUCCGAUACUGCCAGACUUGAGUAAUGGAGAGGUAGCUGGAAUUAUCGGUGUAGCAGUGAAAUGCGUAGAUAUCGAUAGGAACACUCGUGGCGAAAGCGAGCUACUGGACAUUUACUGACGCUGAGGCUCGAAGGCUAGGGGAGCGAAAGGGAUUAGAUACCCCUGUAGUCCUAGCAGUAAACGGUGCACGCUUGGUGUGAGGGGAAUCGACCCCCCUUGUGCCGGAGCUAACGCGUUAAGCGUGCCGCCUGGGAAGUACGGUCGCAAGACUA
rnacentral:rRNA from 1 species